CCAGACUCCUACGGGAGGCAGCAGUGGGGGAUAUUGCACAAUGGGGGAAACCCUGAUGCAGCGACGCCGCGUGGGUGAAGAAGCGCCUCGGCGCGUAAAGCCCUGUCAGCAGGGAAGAAAAUGACGGUACCUGAAGAAGAAGCCCCGGCUAACUACGUGCCAGCAGCCGCGGUAAUACGUAGGGGGCAAGCGUUAUCCGGAUUUACUGGGUGUAAAGGGAGCGUAGACGGUAUGGCAAGUCUGAUGUGAAAACCCGGGGCUCAACCCCGGGACUGCAUUGGAACUGCGCGGCUGGAGUGCAGGAGGGGCAGGCGGAAUUCCUGGUGUAGCGGUGAAAUGCGUAGAUAUCAGGAGGAACACCGGUGGCGAAGGCGACUAUCUGGCACAUAACUGACGCUGAGGAGCGAAAGCGUGGGUAGCAAACAGGAUUAGAUACCCCGGUA
rnacentral:rRNA from 1 species